GCGGCAGCUGCAGCUCCAGGGAGGGCCAGCAACUGAGGAAGGGCAGAGAAGGCCAGAAUGACCAGAGAACCUGCUGUAGA